rnacentral:rRNA from 1 species
UUCAGGAGGGGCCUGCGGCCGAUUAGCUAGUUGGCGGGGUAAGAGCCCACCAAGGCAGUGAUCGGUAGCUGGUCUGAGAGGACGAUCAGCCACACGGGAACUGAGACACGGUCCCGACUCCUACGGGGGGCAGCAGUGAGGAAUAUUGGGCAAUGGGCGGAAGCCUGACCCAGCAACGCCGCGUGGAGGAAGACGGCCUUCGGGUUGUAAACUCCUUUUUUGGGGGAAGAGCGAGGACGGUACCCCAAGAAUAAGUCACGGCUAACUACGUGCCAGCAGCCGCGGUAAUACGUAGGUGACGAGCGUUAUCCGGAAUUACUGGGCGUAAAGCGCACGCAGGCGGUGCGUUAAGUCUGACGUGAAAUCUCCCGGCUUAACUGGGAGGGGUCGUUGGAGACUGGCGUGCUUGAGGCGGUGAGAGGGGUGUAGAAUUCCCGGUGUAGUGGUGGAAUGCGUAGAUAUCGGGAGGAAUACCAGUGGCGAAAGCGACACCCUGGCACUGGCCUGACGCUCAGGUGCGAAGGCGUGGGGAGCGAACGGGAUUAGAUACCCCGGUAGUCCACGCGGUAAACGAUGAAUACUAGGCGUAGGUGGAGUGAAAUCCAUCUGUGCCGCAGCAAACGCGAUAA